CCAGCUCCAAUAGCGUAUAUUAAAGUUGUUGCAGUUAAAAAGCUCGUAGUUGAAUUUCUGACUUUGAGGCGCGACCGACCCCGUGUGGGCCUGUGUCUGCGAAUCGAGGUCAUCCUCGAGGAAUGCGUAUCUGUCAUUCAGUUGAUGGGUACGAGUACCUCGUCAUUUACUGUGAGCAAAAUAGAGUGUUCAAAGCAGGCUUACGCCAUUGAAUACAUUAGCAUGGAAUAAUAAGAUAGGACCUUGGUCUAUUUUGUUGGUUAGUACUCCAAGGUAAUGACUAAUAGGGACAGUUGGGGGUAUUCGUAUUCAAUUGUCAGAGGUGAAAUUCUUGGAUUUAUGGAAGACGAACUACUGCGAAAGCAUUUACCAAGGAUGUUUUCAUUAAUCAAGAACGAAAGUUAGGGGAUCGAAGAUGAUUAGAUAUCAUCGUAGUCUUAACCAUAAACUAUGCCGACUAGGGAUUGGUGGUUGUCCUUUUGGAUUCCAUCAGCACCUUAUGAGAAAUCAAAGUGUUUGGGUUUUGGGGGGAGUAUGGUCGCAAGGCUGAAACUUAAAGGAAUUGACGGAAGGGCACCACCAGGAGUGGAACCUGCGGCUUAAUUCGACUCAAC
rnacentral:rRNA from 1 species